rnacentral:rRNA from 1 species
UGCCUCAGUAACGGCGAGUGAAGCGGCAAGAGCUCAAAUUUGAAAGCUGGCUCCUUCGGGGUCCGCAUUGUAAUUUGCAGAGGAUGCUUCGGGAGCGGCCCCCAUCUAAGUGCCCUGGAACGGGCCGUCAUAGAGGGUGAGAAUCCCGUCUGGGAUGGGGUGCCCGCGACCAUGUGAAGCUCCUUCGACGAGUCGAGUUGUUUGGGAAUGCAGCUCUAAAUGGGUGGUAAAUUUCAUCUAAAGCUAAAUAUUGGCCGGAGACCGAUAGCGCACAAGUAGAGUGAUCGAAAGAUGAAAAGCACUUUGAAAAGAGAGUUAAAAAGCACGUGAAAUUGUUGAAAGGGAAGCGCUUGCGACUAGACUCGCCCACGGGGUAACAGCCGCUAUUCGUAGCGGUGCACUUCCCCGUGGUCGGGCCAGCGUCGGUUUGGGCGGCCGGUCAAAGGCCCUCGGAAUGUAACGCCUCUCGGGGCGUCUUAUAGCCGGGGGUGCCAUGCGGCCAGCCCAGACCGAGGAUCGCGCUUCGGCACGGACGCUGGCUUAAUGG